UUACAGAGUUCAUGCCCUCACGGGUAGACCUCCCACCCUUGUGUAUUUAUACAAUGUUGCUUUGGCGAGCCGCGCAGCUUCGGCUGUGCCUUGGGCCCUCGGGCCUGGGUGCGCUCGCCAGAGAAAUACCAAACUCUGAUUAUUUUUGUCGUCUGAGUACUAUAUCAAUAGUUAAAACUUUCAACAACGGAUCUCUUGGUUCUGGCAUCGAUGAAGAACGCAGCGAAAUGCGAUAAGUAAUGUGAAUUGCAGAAUUCAGUGAAUCAUCGAAUCUUUGAACGCACAUUGCGCCCCUUGGUAUUCCGGGGGGCAUGCCUGUUCGAGCGUCAUUUCAACCCUCAAGCUCUGCUUGGUAUUGGACUUUUGCCAGCGAUGGCAGGUUCUAAAAUCAGUGGCGGUGCCGUUGGGUCCUGAGCGUAGUAAUACUUCUCGCUACUGGAACCCCGCGUGCGUCUUGCCAUAACCCCCAAUUUUUUCAGGUUGACCUCGGAUCAGGUAGGGAUACCCGCUGAACUUAAGCAUAUGGCGAGUGAAGCGGCAAAAGCUCAAAUUUGAAAUCUGGCUCUUUCAGGGUCCGAGUUGUAAUUUGUAGAAGAUGUUUCGGGUGUGGUCCCAGUCUAAGUUCCCUGGAACUGGACAUCACAGAGGGUGAGAAUCCCGUAUGUGACUGGGUACCUACGUCCAUGUGAAACUCUUUCGACGAGUCGAGUUGUUUGGGAAUGCAGCUCAAAAUGGGUGGUAAAUUUCAUCUAAAGCUAAAUAUUGGCCAGAGACCGAUAGCGCACAAGUAGAGUGAUCGAAAGAUGAAAAGCACUUUGGAAAGAGAGUUAAACAGUACGUGAAAUUGUUGAAAGGGAAGGGCAUGCAAUCAGACUUGCGCCUAGUUGAUCAUCCGGGCUUCUGCCCGGUGCACUCGAUUAGGCUCAGGCCAGCAUCAGUUUAGAGGGCUGGAUAAAGGCCUUGGGAAUGUGGCCCCUCUCGGGGGGUGUUAUAGCCCAAGGUGCAAUGCAGCCUCUCUGGACUGAGGACCGCGCUUCGGCUAGGAUGCUGGCGUAAUGGUUGUAUGCCGCCCGUCUU
rnacentral:rRNA from 1 species